AUCAGGCUCCUUCUAUUGAGUGCUUCCUUGCUACCCAAAGACUGAAUAAAAGUUGACUUGGCUUUGUGGAGAGCAUGCGGUAAGCAGAAACCGCCAACAGAAAAUCCAACCUCAAUAAAAACAGAGCUUAUGAAAGCCCUUGCUAAAUGGUAAAGUGAGAUACAAAAAACUCUAACGCUGAUAAAGAGACUACACACUCAUAUAACCAAAACUCAGUACAAUCACAUGAUGAGC